AGGAAACAGCACAUCAUUUUUUAUAAUUACAUUGUGAACUGCAGAGGGACAAAGAUCAGCAUAAAGAGACGGCAUCAUUCUCUUUGCCACUGACAUAAAUGACACAGUGCUCCAGAAUAACGCCUGCGUGAAGACCAGAGAGACUGUUGGUAUGCACAGCGUCCGGCAGGAGAGGUGCUCCUGCGCCUGCCGCUUGCUUAGUUCUCCAGCGUGGGAGGCUGCUGCACCAUCCCUGGGACCAAUGUGAGUCAGGAGUUACUCUGCUGCGUUAAGGCGUUCGGUGUCCCGCGGCCUCCUCAGGAGGCAUUGUUUAUCAGCUUCCCUCCUUCCAAAUUCUUCUGUUUGUAUAGUGGGAGCUUUUGUGCCAAUUUUUUUUUUUCUUUGCCUGGAGUUAUUGGCAGAGCUAAUUAACUACAGAAUAUAAAAGCCUUGUUCUUGGGGGCCUAGUGGUGUGGUGGCAGCACAGCGUGAGUGCUGCCUGGUGGGCUGGGAGAUGAAUUGUGGGAUGGGUAGCCUGAGGAUGGGCAGAUUAUCUUCACAAAGAUGUACCUAGUUAUUUCCUGCAGUGAAUGCAAUCGCUCGUCUUGAGGGGCUGCGUGCUGCGUCCUUCCCUGCUCUGCUCCGCUCCACCGCUGCACAGAUGGCACCUACGGGGCUGGCAGCAACCUCGGAGAGCACGUAGGUCUUGGCCACUGUAAUGAAAGCUGGUGGACGAGAGAGCGGACUUGCAGGCUCACGUGUGCCUGUGCCAACAGGACGUGAAGGGGUUUGGACGGGUUCAUCUACUCCCUGCGCCUCCCCAGAGGUUCACGGAGCCGAGCCCCGCAGCCGCCCCUGAGGACUGUGCCCCUGGCUGUCACUAGAGGCAAGCG